GAGGGUGUAGCUCAGUCGUAGAGUGCCUGCUUAGCAUGCAAGAGGUCCUGGGUUCAAUCCCCAGUACUUCCA
rnacentral:tRNA from 1 species